rnacentral:rRNA from 1 species
UACAGAGGUCUCAAGCGUUGUUCGGAUUCAUUGGGCGUAAAGGGUGUGUAGGCGGCGCGGUAAGUCGGGUGUGAAAUCUCGGAGCUUAACUCCGAAACUGCAUUCGAUACUGCCGUGCUUGAGGACUGGAGAGGAGACUGGAAUUUACGGUGUAGCGGUGAAAUGCGUAGAUAUCGGAAGGAACACCGGUGGCGAAAGCGGCGCGCUGGACCUCUUCUGACGCUGAGGCGCGAAAGCCAGGGGAGCAAACGGG